UACGGAGGAGGCAAGCGUUAUCCGGAAUUAUUGGGCGUAAAGCGUCCGUAGGUGGGUGCAUGUGUCAGUUGUUAAAGGAUGGAGCUUAACUCCAUAAGAGCAAUUGAAACUGUGUAUCUAGAGUGCGAUAGGGGCAAGGGGAAUUCCCAGUGUAGCGGUGAAAUGCGUAGAUAUUGGGAAGAACACCGGUGGCGAAAGCGCCUUGCUGGGUCUGCACUGACACUGAGGGACGAAAGCGUGGGGAGCAAACAGG
rnacentral:rRNA from 1 species